rnacentral:rRNA from 1 species
ACCCGGAGGAAAAGAAAUCAAACGAGAUGCCCACAGUAGCGGCGAGCGAAGAGGGCAGAGCCCAAACCUGUAAGCUACGGCUUAUGGGGGUUGAGGACUGACGGAAUUAAGGCCAGGCUUAGCUGAACUACCUGGGAAGGUAGGCGAUAGAAGGUAAGAGCCCUGUAAGCGAAAGGCAGAGCCUUAAGGUCAGUAUCCAGAGUACCACGGAGCACGAGGAAUUCUGUGGGAAGCAGGGGGGACCACCCUCCAAGGCUAAAGACUAACUGGCGACCGAUAGCGCAUAGUACCGUGAGGGAAAGGUGAAAAGAACCCCGGGAGGGGAGUGAAAUAGUACCUGAAACCGUAUGUCUACAAGCAGUCGGAGCGAAAGCGACGGCGUGCCUAUUGAAGAAUGAACCAACGAGUUAUCUGCACUAGCGAGGUUAAGUGGAAGACACGGAGCCGUAGCGAAAGCGAGUCUGAAAAGGGCGGAUAGUUAGUGUAGGUAGACCCGAAACCGCAGUGAUCUACCCAUGUCCAGGUUGAAGCGCAGGUAAAAAUGCGUGGAGGACCGAACCGGUGAGCGUUGAAAAGCUUUCGGAUGAGAUGUGGGUAGGGGUGAAAUUCCAAUCGAACGCGGAGAUAGCUGGUUCUCCCCGAAAUAGCUUUAGGGCUAGCCUCAGGUAGUAAGUAUAGGCGGUAGAGCACUGAUCGGGCUAGGGGCCAUAAAGGUUACCGAACCCUGUCAAACUCCGAAUGGAUAUACUGCAGAGCCUGGGAGUCAGACUACGAGUGAUAAGAUCCGUGGUCAAAAGGGAAACAGCCCAGACCACCGGCUAAGGUCCCAAAUGCCGUACUAAGUGGAAAAGGAUGUGGGGAUUCAUAAACAACCAGGAUGUUGGCUCAGAAGCAGCCACCAUUUAAAGAGUGCGUAAUAGCUCACUGGUCGAGAGUCCCUGCGCCGAAAAUUUCCGGGGCUAAAGUACGGAACCGAAGCCGUGGCUGUGCAUGUAAGUGCACGGGGUAGGGGAGCGUUGCCACAGGGGUGAAGCUGGUCUGGAAGGACUGGUGGACUUGUGGGAAGUGAGAAUGUUGGUAUGAGUAGCGAAAAGAAAGGUGAGAAUCCUUUCCACCGAAAGCAUAAGGAUUCCUGAGCAACGAUCGUCGUCUCAGGGUAAGUCGGGACCUAAUCCGAGGCAAAGAGCGUAGGAGAUGGACAACAGGUUGAUAUUCCUGUACCGGCAGCAAUUGUUUGAGCGAAGGAGUGACACAGAAGGGCAGGCAGGCGCGAGACUGGAUUGUCGCGUGCAAGCGUGUAGGGUAGUGUACAGGCAAAUCCGUACACUGAAAGCCUGAGGCGUUACGCGGAGCGAGCAGAGAUGCGAGCGAAGCUGCUGAUCCCACACUGUCGAGAAAAGCUUCUAGUGAGAGAGCUGCCGCCCGUACCGUAAACCGACACAGGUAUGCGGGGAGAGAAUCCUAAGGUGCGCGGGAGAACCCUCGUUAAGGAACUCGGCAAAAUGUACCCGUAACUUCGGGAUAAGGGUAGCCGUCUUGGUGAAGGAGCUUGCCUCUGGAGCUGAAGGCGGUCGCAGAGAAGAGGCCCAAGCGACUGUUUACCACAAACACAGGUGCCUGCUAAAGCGAAAGCUGACGUAUAGGUGCUGACACCUGCCCAGUGCUGGAAGGUUAAGGAAGGAUGUCCGGGCAACCAAAGCAUUCGACCGAAGCCCCAGUGAACGGCGGCCGUAACUAUAACGGUCCUAAGGUAGCGAAAUUCCUUGUCGGGUAAGUUCCGACCCGCACGAAAGGUGUAACGAUUUGGGCACUGUCUCAACGAGGGACCCGGUGAAAUUGAAAUACCUGUGAAGAUGCAGGUUACCCGCGACUGGACAGAAAGACCCCAUGGAGCUUUACUGUAACCUGACAUUGGGUUUUGUUGUAUUACGUACAGGAUAGGUGGGAGGCUUGGAAGGCUGGACGCUAGUCUGGCUGGAGCCGGCGUUGGGAUACCACCCUUGAUACAACGGAAUUCUAACCGAGAGAGUAACGAAAUCCGGGACAGUGUCAGGCGGGCAGUUUGACUGGGGCGGUCGCCUCCGAAAGAGUAACGGAGGCGCCCAAAGGUUCCCUCAGCGCGGCCGGAAAUCGCGCGAAGAGUGUAAAGGCAGAAGGGAGCUUGACUGCGAGCCAAACACGGCGAGCAGGUACGAAAGUAGGGCUUAGUGAUCCGGUG